CAGCCUUUAAGUGUCCUCCGCCGGCGGGGCUCUCGCGGCGGCGUCCUGUGAGGCGCCUCCUCCCGUGAGGCUUCGCCCGCCGCGCCCGCAGCCGUCCCGGUGGGCCGUUAACGGUCCGUGGGGUGCUGCCGCCGCGAGGCCCCCGGCACCGGCCGAGCCUGCGGAGAGCCCGAGGCGGCUGGGAGAGCCCGGGGGGGAGGAGAGCCCCAGGGCGUUCGGGGGAUCUUGCCGAGUUUUUGUCCAGCAAAAGCUGUGGGCCGCUGGCAGAAAUCAAGUGGCGCAGCCCCGGGUCUUGAAAUUGUGCAGAAGCUAAUGUGCCUUACUGUGUAGAUGGAAACCAAUAAGCAGGAACUGGCAGAAGGAAUCAUUGAACAUACAAACCCAAUCCCCUGCACUGCCUGUCACCUCACUGGAGGAACUGGGACAGACUGUGCGUGUAACUCCAUCAGUGAUCAAAAACUUGUAUUAACUGACUGUGCAUUAAGUAAAAAUCUCCAAGUUGUACUGGCCUGUCUAUGACACCAUGGUUGCAGGCCUCUUUGGAGUUAGAAGACAUGAUCAUGCAGGAAGUCUCUGAGUCACAGAUUGCUGGAGGCUGGGAGAAUGUAUACAAGUUAUAUAGUCUAUGUUUGCCCUGUUCAUAUGCUCUCCCCUAGGCAUCUGCUAAUAGCCAUUGUUGGGAAUCGGAUACUGGGCUAAAGAGAUCUUUGGUUUUACCUGUUAUGGCUGUUCUUAUGGUUUAUUUCUAUAUGGCUCCAGGAAGAACAACAGCUACUCUGUGGCUUUGCAGCUUGUUAUUCAGUAUGGAGAUACUUUUCAGUUUUCUGGCCAUGUGCAGUCAAGAAGGGGGAGAAGUUCAAGAAAUUUAUUAAAGUGUGAAGGAAAAUAUUAGGCCUUUCCAUUUAUAGAAGAUACAUAAAUCAUGCAAAACUGAAAGGAAGGACAGUGAAAACAAAGUACAAUGAAGAGCUAGGGCAGGUGUUCUUCAUUGAUAGAGAAAGAGCAGAGGAACAAAGAAUCUACUAUUAAGUCAAGGCUUGAACUGAGGAAGACACUAUAUGAAAGGGAAGCAGUAAGCACUGUAGCAAAUAAUACAGUAAAAGCAACACAAAAUGUUUACAUAGCAUUUUAAGAACAAAUGGAGGUGGUAAUUUCUGAAACAUUUUUGAAACUUUUGAAUUUUUUUGAAAAAAACCCAACCAUUAAAGGAACACAUUUUGUAAAUAUUAUGAGUUCUCAUUAAAAGGGCAGUGUUUUUAUUGAUGCACUAAUUCACCUGUUCAAAAUGCUUCAGUCAUCAAAUGAUGGAAUUUAGAAUUGCAAUGUUUGUGUGUAUGUGUGUGUGCAUGUGUGCAUUUGUGGUUUGGGUGAAACUGGUAUUUUUUAAUUUGAAUCAGACAAAGGUGGGGUCAGGGUGUUUUCUUUCAGGCAUUUAUUUAUCAUAGCUUACAGUUUGCUUUGUUGUUCAAAUAGUAUGUGACUCCACCCUUUCUCAUUAUUGCCAAGCAGGGAUAUAAGGCUGCUUUAGAGAGUUUCUAAGUUGACACUAAUGAAGUAUCAAGUUGCUUUCUAAUGCUUUUAGGAGCAAGACUUUGGAGGGGAAGUGGUAAGCAUUGUAUCAUGACUGCAAAAAUCUGUCACUCUAGAAUGAAACAAUGCUGAAAGAAAAUUCUUAUACUAACCUGUUCCUUAUUUAAUUGCAAAUAAAUUGUCGCCUUUCACUCCUUUCCAAACUUCCUGUGUAGUUGCCAGUGCGAGUCCAGGAUUGCAACUGCUGUGUUUAAGAAUGUGUGGGUUUGAUCUCCUGAAAGUAUUUCAAAGAAAUAUGCAGACAGUAAAUGUAAGCAUACCUUUGUCUCCCCCACAGACAGGCUACCAGAAGUGGUUGCUCAUGCUGGAAGGAAAUAGUGCUUUAUGCUAAGGGUGUCACAAAUCACACCCAAUGUCUCCAAUGCAAAUGUAGAGCUCCAGGAAGCAAACUGUUUCCUUCUACCCCAGUACUCCCUGCAGGGUGAUGCAACUCUACUGCUUUAGAGUAGAACAGUAGCUGCAGCCAAGGGUUAGUUCCUGAAAAUUAUUGGUGAAAAGGAAAAUCAACCCUGUUAACUACUUCUGUAUAUGAAAGUGGGUCAUGAGCCCAUACAAAUUUGUUUUGCUUGGACCUUGUCCAUUAUAGCAUUUCUUGAUUUUCACGAGUCCUAAAAUAGCAGGGAAGAGGGAGAGUGGCGUGGAUGAAAAUGAAGGCAAAUUGUCAGUCUCCUUGGGAAUGCUGUCAGUACGCUUCCUGCUACUGAAAUGUGUUUCUUACUUAGUGCUAAACCUUAAAAAAAAAUGUACCUUGUUUCAGUGGUAGCUGCUGGAAAUUAGUUUAUUGCAGAAUUUGGUUUUAUUCCAGUGUAACACACAGAGAAUGUCAUCUGUGUCCUCUAUUAUGAACUUUUCCAUCUCUCCUCAGUAGUGGUCACCUGUUCUUUUGCCAGAUGUAGGUUUGUUCUCAGACUUAGCACAAAUAUUCGUCAAAAUCUAGGUGUGUAGCACACUAGCAGACAGCACCAUGUCCAAAAGCAGAAGGAGCAACUACGCAAGAGAGAGGAUUCAUCAGAGGUCAGGGAGGAACAUUUCUCGUAGCUGACUAAUAGUAAGGGAUGGGCAAACUUUGUGUUGUUUUGAGGUUUUGUGAACCUUGUGAACUGUACUUUUGGUUUCACAGGGUUUGUGAACUGUUCCCUCUUCCACCUUGUCCUUAUCCCCAUGGUAUUUUUCAGGAUGGAAGUUUUGUUGAUUUUUUUUUUUUUACUGUAAAAGAGAUACGUCUUUCUGUAUGUCUUAAUGCUUGAAUAAUCUUUCCACUUUGGCAGGUUCUCAGCAAACUACUGGGUGUGAGCAGUUUCUGUCCAUAUAAUCUCUUCUUUUUCUCUGUAUUUGCAUUUUAAUGAUAUUUUCCUUUCAGUGUUAAAGCACAAUACAGGAAAGGAACCUUCUGGGUCAGUAUCAAGAGGAACUACAACUUAUUCUUUCAGUAGGUCUCUCUAGUUCCAGUUUUAAAUGAGUUAAGCUUUUUUCCUUUACUCUUCAUUUAAUCUAAAUAAUAUGAUUUUGUAUAAUUCUAUAGUACAUACUUUUAAACUAUGUUUGUAUAACAGUUGUCCUCUCUUCUCCCUUUUUCAGUCACUCAACUGAUUGUUGAAAGCACAAGUCAGAAUCAGGACCCUCCUGGUUUCAUUAAGUGCUUGCACCACUGAGUCAGGUCCUUGGACUCCACAAAAUUUAAGAGGAUUUUAGAAUAGAAAACCAUGUUCCUUCUUCAUUUUAAUGUGUAGGAAUGUCCUCAGACUGACUCUCAAAGAGAUAGUUUUAUAUUACUACCCUCUCAUUUAAGUCUCUGUUAUACCGUGCAUGUCUGUGCCAUGUUUAAAACAGGUUGUUUUAUUGUGUGCACUGCUACCACUUUGCAUUUGAUGAAUUGUAAAGAGAGAAACUUCCUCAGACAUUACAUUGGGAUGACCGGCAAGGUGACCUGAAAGGAAAUAGUCAAUAAUUUGGGAACUUUGUUUAGUGAAUUGUGAUUUGAAUAUCUUCAUCUUAUAAAUGGAAUAGAGGGGUUUUUUUUGGGGGGAUAGUAUUUCGGUAGAUCAUUGCUGUGUUCUAAAUUUUACCUUUAGUGGAUGCCAAUUAUGUUAAUGAAUUCUAGCUGGCCAAUCAAAGAAGAGUCAAAGCUAUUUUCUGUUUGCUAAGUAUACUAAUUGAGAUUGCUAUACACAGUUUAAUUGUGCUGGUAAAUACUCUAAUGUUUCAUUUCUAAACAGUUCCUCUUUUAAUGGAGGGGGAGGAGUGGGGAAUUUAGUAAUUUACUAAAAAUGAAGACAUAUUUUCUAAUUACACAGAUUAUUCAUUAGCAUCAGUGCUUACAAAAAAUCCCCUAAGGCACAAGUAUAUAUAUAACUUUUAAAAAAGGAAGUAAAGCUUUUAUCUAAAAUAGAACUUAAAACAGAAAUUGAAGCCAAAUUUGAUGAAAACUUCACACAUUUUAAGCUGACUGUAGGGUACAUACGACAAAUAGAUGUGGAGUGUUGCAAAACUGAAAUGUUAAAGCAACAGAGUCUGUAUACUGCCAAGAUAUGAGAGAAUUGUCCAAAAGCCCUUGGUGCAAUUAUAAUAAAUUAAAUACGCAAACUAUGCUGUGUAGUAUUUCUGAACUGUUUACUAUCCUGCCAUAAAAUGAUUUCUCAAUGGAGAAAAUUAUUUUUACAUGAAUUGUAGAUUUGUAACAGAAACAGGCAUCUUUCAGUAUAUAGCCUGAGAAAAAAUGAGGCUUUUCAGUUGAAUUCAGUUCUUUAUACAAGAAUAUCCUUUAAUUUGCAUUACUGCAACAAAAUUAAUAUUAGGGCCACCGACAGAGAUGUGAUUUACUACAAGUAAAGGGAUAGACUGGCAGAUUUAUACUCCCUAAGCACUUUCCCACAACAGCUCUUCUGAUGACAAGCCAACAUAGCAAGUUUUGGCUUGCAGUUUCGGUGGUUUGCAAACUGUUUCAUUUUGAAAGUAUGGGAGUUACUCAACACCGGGGGCCAAAUGAUGAUCUGAAUUGUGCUGGAGUUACACUCGUGCUUCUCUGGUUACUAUUUUGGAACAACUGCUAAUGCACACUACUGUUCAAAUCACGAACCACUCCAGUUUCCUAUACAUUGUAGAAGGUGGUGGAAGAAAGAAAAUUAAAUUCAUCUCAUCUGUGGUAGACCUUUGAAUGUGUCUGUCUUUUUUGCAUUAAGUCUAGGGAAAGCCUAGGGCACAUAUUUUGUACACCUACUGAACUGCCCUGUUAAGAUGCAUAUCUCUGCACUGACUGUAGGAGCAUUCUGGUUACCUAACUACCUCAGACCAAAAUCUUAACCUUUAUACAGCUAGAACAACACAAAAAGAGUCCCACUCUAGGAAAAUUGACUGGAGAAUGAGAUUAUGUAUUCUUCAUCAAUGCCUUUGAAGGAAAAUGGUCCUUUACAUUAGCAAUAUUUUUACUUGUAAAGGUGUUCAUACCGGUUUUUUUUAUAGCCCAGGUUAAUGAUAAAAUUUGCUAAACCUCAGAAGUCAUUGUAAUGUCAUCCUGCAAAAGAAAAUUUUAAAGAAUGCUUUCUAGGAAAAAUAAAGUGCAAAAUCAUGAAAUCUAGUGAAAAUAUUGUCCUCUGCUUUAUUCUUUCCA